rnacentral:rRNA from 1 species
UACGGAGGGUGCAAGCGUUAAUCGGAAUUACUGGGCGUAAAGCGCACGCAGGCGGUCUGUCAAGUCGGAUGUGAAAUCCCCGGGCUCAACCUGGGAACUGCAUUCGAAACUGGCAGGCUAGAGUCUUGUAGAGGGGGGUAGAAUUCCAGGUGUAGCGGUGAAAUGCGUAGAGAUCUGGAGGAAUACCGGUGGCGAAGGCGGCCCCCUGGACG